rnacentral:rRNA from 1 species
CCUACGGGCGGCAGCAGUGGGGAAUAUUGGGCAAUGGGCGCAAGCCUGACCCAGCAACGCCGCGUGAAGGAAGAAGGCUUUCGGGUUGUGAACUUCUUUUAAGGGGGAAGAGCAGAAGACGGUACCCCUUGAAUAAGCCACGGCUAACUACGUGCCAGCAGCCGCGGUAAUACGUAGGGGGCAAGCGUUGUCCGGAUUUACUGGGUGUAAAGGGCGUGCAGCCGGAGAGACAAGUCAGAUGUGAAAUCCACGGGCUCAACCCGUGAACUGCAUUUGAAACUGUUUCCCUUGAGUGUCGGAGAGGUAAUCGGAAUUCCUUGUGUAGCGGUGAAAUGCGUAGAUAUAAGGAAGAACACCAGUGGCGAAGGCGGAUUACUGGACGAUAACUGACGGUGAGGCGCGAAAGCGUGGGGAGCAAACAGGAUUAGAUACCCUAGUAGUC